rnacentral:rRNA from 1 species
UAGCGCGGUGGUCCCACCUGACCCCAUGCCGAACUCAGAAGUGAAACGCCGUAGCGCCGAUGGUAGUGUGGGGCCUCCCCAUGCGAGAGUAGGGAACUGCCAG